rnacentral:rRNA from 1 species
GAUGAACGCUGGCGGCGUGCUUAACACAUGCAAGUCGAGCGAAGCAGUUAAGUUGAUUUCUUCGGAUUGAUUCUUAAUUGACUGAGCGGCGGACGGGUGAGUAACGCGUGGGUGACCUGCCCCAUACCGGGGGAUAACAGCUGGAAACGGCUGCUAAUACCGCAUAAGCGCACAGAGCUGCAUGGCUCGGUGUGAAAAACUCCGGUGGUAUGGGAUGGGCCCGCGUCUGAUUAGGCAGUUGGCGGGGUAACGGCCCACCAAACCGACGAUCAGUAGCCGGCCUGAGAGGGCGACCGGCCACAUUGGGACUGAGACACGGCCCAAACUCCUACGGGAGGCAGCAGUGGGGAAUAUUGCACAAUGGGGGAAACCCUGAUGCAGCGACGCCGCGUGAGCGAAGAAGUAUUUCGGUAUGUAAAGCUCUAUCAGCAGGGAAGAUAAUGACGGU